rnacentral:rRNA from 1 species
AUGACGGCCUUCGGGUUGUAAACCUCUUUCAGUACCGACGAAGCGAAAGUGACGGUAGGUACAGAAGAAGCACCGGCCAACUACGUGCCAGCAGCCGCGGUAAUACGUAGGGUGCGAGCGUUGUCCGGAAUUAUUGGGCGUAAAGGGCUCGUAGGCGGUUUGUCACGUCGGGAGUGAAAACUCGGGGCUUAACUCCGAGCCUGCUUCCGAUACGGGCUGACUAGAGGUAUGCAGGGGAGAACGGAAUUCCUGGUGUAGCGGUGAAAUGCGCAGAUAUCAGGAGGAACACCGGUGGCGAAGGCGGUUCUCUGGGCAUUACCUGACGCUGAGGAGCGAAAGUGUGGGGAGCGAACAGGAUUAGAUACCCUGGUAGUCCACACCGUAAACGUUGGGCGCUAGGUGUGGGACUCAUUCCACGAGUUCCGUGCCGCAGCUAACGC